AACGCAAAUUGCGCUCGAGGCUUCGGCCAAGAGCAUGUCUGCCUCAGCGUCGGGUUAAUAUCGCUAAUUACUCACAUAGUGAGUAACACAGCGGAACUGGCUGUCCCGGUAAAUCUUCUUUUUCCGGGUCAGCUGAAGUUUAGAUGUCAAACCAUGGACCCGCUAAUGGGCCUCUACUGGGUAGGCAACUCGUUGCUAAAUGCUUUAGUAGAUGGUUUAGGGACUGUGUUUGGCACAAAACAGGAUUACCCCUAACGGAGUAAAACCCCUUUAUUUUCUCGACCUGAGCUCAGGCAAGAUUACCCGCUGAACUUAA
rnacentral:misc_RNA from 1 species